rnacentral:rRNA from 1 species
CCUACGGGUGGCUGCAGUGAGGAAUAUUGGUCAAUGGGCGCGAGCCUGAACCAGCCAAGUAGCGUGAAGGAUGACUGCCCUCCGGGUUGUAAACUUCUUUUAUAAAGGAAUAAAGUGAGGCACGUGUGCCUUUUUGUAUGUACUUUAUGAAUAAGGAUCGGCUAACUCCGUGCCAGCAGCCGCGGUAAUACGGAGGAUCCGAGCGUUAUCCGGAUUUAUUGGGUUUAAAGGGAGCGUAGAUGGGUUGUUAAGUCAGUUGUGAAAUUUUGAGGCUCAACGGUAAAAUUGCAUUUGAUACUGGCAGUCUUGAGUGCAGUGGAGGUAGGCGGAAUUCGUGGUGUAGCGGUGAAAUGCUUAGAUAUCAGGAAGAACUCCGAUUGCGAAGGCAGCUUACUAAACUGCCACUGACAUUGAGGCUCGAAAGUGUGGGUAGCAAACAGGAUUAGAUACCCGUGUAGUC